UAUCUUGAUUGACCUCUGUCAGGCCCGCAUCACCAUCAGUGUAUGACGUGUGACAAAAAUGUUAUGGUACACAGAUACAACUUGUUGUUCAUGAUGUGUGUUAUUUGGAUCGUGAGACCAAUUGUUUGGAUUAUUAACUUCCGGUACACAUUUUUGUCACAAGAUAUAAUUCCAAGCAUUACAAUGUACAUUGUGUAUAUGACUAUACUAUGGCAUUUUCUACAAGAAGGGUUUGAUAAAAUCAAUGGCAUCGAUCAUAGCUGCAAUCACAGA
rnacentral:lncRNA from 1 species